rnacentral:rRNA from 1 species
AAACAUCGCCUCUUGACUCCCAUAAGAGGUCCAGCCUGCCCAGUGACCUGGUUCAACGGCCGCGGUAUCCUAACCGUGCGAAGGUAGCGUAAUCACUUGUCUUCCAAAUAAAGACUAGUAUGAAAGGCACCACGAGAACUAAACUGUCUCCCUUUUCCAAUCAGUGAACCUAAUACCCCCGUGAAGAAACGGGGAUUUUACAAUAAGACGAGAAGACCCUAUGGAGCUUUAAACAUCAUAAUCACCUGCCCAUAAACAAGAUACUCAGGUCCCCCACCCAAACCCACGAUGAUUAUAUGUUUUUGGUUGGGGUGACCGCGGAGAAAAACACAUCCCCCGCGAUGAAAACCUACCUAAACAACAAGCCACAACUUUAUGUAUCAACAAAUUGACACUAUUGACCCAAUAUAUUGAUUAACGAACCAAGUUACCCUAGGGAUAACAGCGCAAUCCACUUCAAGAGCCCCUAUCGACAAGUGGGCUUACGACCUCGAUGUUGGAUCAGGGUAUCCUAGUGGUGCAGCCGCUACUAAGGGCUCGUUUGUUCAACGAUUAAAACCCUACGUGAUCUGA